rnacentral:rRNA from 1 species
AAGCGUUAUCCGGAAUCAUUGGGUUUAAAGGGUCCGUAGGCGGUUUUGUAAGUCAGUGGUGAAAGCCCAUCGCUCAACGGUGGAACGGCCAUUGAUACUGCAAGACUUGAAUUACUAGGAAGUAACUAGAAUAUGUAGUGUAGCGGUGAAAUGCUUAGAGAUUACAUGGAAUACCAAUUGCGAAGGCAGGUUACUACUAGUGGAUUGACGCUGAUGGACGAAAGCGUGGGUAGCGAACAGGAUUAGAUACCCUGGUAGUCCACGCCGUAAACGAUGGAUACUAGCUGUUGGGAGCAAUCUCAGUGGCUAAGCGAAAGUGAUAAGUAUCCCACCUGGGGAGUACGGGCGCAAGCCUG